GUACCCGUAGCUCAGUUGGAUAGAGCGUCAGACUCCGACUCUGAAGGCCGGGGGUUCGAAUCCCUUCGGGUACGCCA
rnacentral:tRNA from 1 species